rnacentral:tRNA from 1 species
GGAGUUGUGCCUGAAGCAAAGGGCCACUUUGAUAGAGUGAAAUAUGAAGGUUAAAGUCCUUCCAGCUCCU